rnacentral:lncRNA from 1 species
CUGUGGUUGGGUCUAUCGCGAAGGCAUCGUCUCCGUUAUCUUCUAACGCGUAUCUUACCUAAGAUGAUUGAUAUUCCGUUGGAAAGCCUUUGAUUACAAGCAACGUCUAAUUGGAGUAGUAAUUAGAGCGGACGAAAAGAAAUAAAUAAAUAAAUAAAGAAAAAGAAAAAGAAAGAAGGAUCAUCUAAGGGUCUCGAGUCUGUUGAACUUCUCAUCGGUAUUUCUCGGUCUUCCUCGGGUUCUCUUUUAUUUUCUUCGCCCUCGAUUUCACCCCCCACUUUUAUAUAAACGAAUAGUGGGUGGUUGGUUGCUCCUGCGAGUAUCGACCGACGCAAUUUCUAUGUCCAUGCCGAGCAUACUUCGUAUCUUUCAAAGAAUGAAUGAACAACGAUAAUAAUAAUAAUAAUAAUAAUAAUGAUGAUGAUGAUGAUGAUGAUGAUGAUGAAAAGAACUCUGACGAGUCUACGAUCGAUCCUUUUUGCACCUUUUAAUAUAAUUAUUAUCAUUUCUAUAUGAUCAAAAAGAAAUAUGAAAGAUUUACAAUAACAAAAAAAUGAUAAAAAAUUGAUGAAUUUUCUGUCACGUUUUUACCAAGCUCGCGAUCAAUUUUCCUCAGUCUACCCUCGAGUGAUAAAAAUGUUGAGAGAAGAGGUUUGAGACUAGCGUCGGCGUUGAGACCACUCGAGGAGUCGUUACUCCCAAGAGAGGACGUACAAUUGGAAUAACAUAAGAGUAGAAAAUAUUUCUACGCGGUGAUGUAGACCAAUAGAAAAUAUUAAAACAACAGGAUGAUUAUAUAAUAUUCUCAAGGAUUUAAAUGACUACAAAUAAUUACAAAGAAAACCUAAUCAAAAUGAGUCGUUAUCGUCUAGAACUCUAUGCGUUCCUUUUUCAUUCUUUAUUUCAUUUCACGCGAGUCGCGUCCUGUCUUCCCGUGGGAACUUUUCGAAUGAACUCCGAAGGAAAAGAAAAGUCGAGUAUAAUCCAAAGGAAGGAAGGAAGAAAGAGGAAACAUUGGCAUAACUUAGCAGCGUGCGAGCGUAAAGAUCUAACGAAUCUUUCCCUACUUUGGUAUAAAUACCGUACAAAACACACACGCGAGGAGGAAAAAGGGACGCCGAUAAUGUCGAAGAAAACGAA